AUGGCCAAUUUCCCUCUGUACAUCACUGCUUCCUACGAGGGCUACAUGGUGUGUGUAGCCAGCGUCCAGAACAACACAGUAAUACAACCCACCGUCAGUCAAAGACACCACCUCAGAGUAGUCGACCCAGUCAAUGGUGCAGAGGUUGUAGUCCAAUCAGGGUCUGUGGAGUUCUACGAAGGGAAGCCACUGUCCCUACGUUGUAACAUCUCCAAAGGGAACCACGUCUCCUACCAGUGGCUGGUGGAUGAGAAGCCCCUCCCCCUGUCUCCUUUACGCAAUCAGACACAGGAACAACUCUUCAUCUACAGGAUGGUGCCCCAGGACAGCGGGGAGUACACCUGUGUUGCUACCAACCAACUCAACAUCACCAAGGUCUACUCCUCCAGGAGCACUGCCAAGGUCAUCAAGGUCAAAGGUCAGAGGUCAGGGGGUCAUUUGUAUCACAUAAUUAUGGAGGAGGGUGAAGUUGCCCCUAGAUGCUGAUCUUGAGUCAGUUUAGCAUUUUCCGUGUAACGGAUGUGAAACGGCUAGCUUAGUUAGCGUGGGCGCUAAAUAGCGUUUCAAUCAGUGACGUCACUUGCUCUGAGACCUUGAAGUAGUAGUUCCCCUUGCUCUGCAAGAGCCGCGGCUUUUGUGGAGCGAUGGGUAACGAUGCGACUGUUGAUGUGUGCAGAAGGUCCCUAGUUCGCGCCCGGGUAUGGGCGAGGGGACGGUCUAAAUUUGUACUGUUGCAUUGAUGCUGUUGACCCGGAUUACUGGUUGCUGCGGAAAAAGGAGGAAGGUCAAAAGGGGGGUGAGUGUAACGGAUGUGAAACGGCUAGCUUAGUUAGCGUGGGCGCUAAAUAGCGUUUCAAUCAGUGACGUCACUUGCUCUGAGACCUUGAAGUAGUAGUUCCCCUUGCUCUGCAAGAGCCGCGGCUUUUGUGGCGCGAUGGGUAACGAUGCUUCGAGGGUGACUGUUGAUGUGUGCAGAAGGUCCCUAGUUCGCGCCCGGGUAUGGGCGAGGGGACGGUUUAAAUUUGUACUGUUACAUCCGCACUAAUGCUUAAGGCUUGGGGGAGGGGAAGCUGAUCCUAAAUCUGUACCUAAGGUGUACUCAUAGAGAUAGGGGGCUCUAGUGCCACAAAAAAAAAACGUUUUAACAUGGGCAGCAACAUAGAGGGAUUUCACCAUUUUGAAUUAGCCUUCCUAUGGGUUAAGGAAGGAUCCUAUGACAUCAACAAGGGAUGU
rnacentral:lncRNA from 13 species